rnacentral:tRNA from 1 species
CUUCAAGUAGUUUAUAAAUUAAAAACAUUAUUUUUUCAUGAUGAUGAAAAGGAUUAUUCCUUUUUGAAGG